rnacentral:rRNA from 1 species
CUUAAGCAUAUCAAUAAGCGGAGGAAAAGAAACCAACUGGGAUUGCCUUAGUAACGGCGAGUGAAGCGGCAACAGCUCAAAUUUGAAAGCUGGCGUCUUCGGCGUCCGCGUUGUAAUUUGUAGAGGAUGCUUCGGCGAGGGCUCCGGUUUAAGUUCCCUGGAACGGGACGUCAUAGAGGGUGAGAAUCCCGUAUGUGAUCGGUUGCCUAAGCCAUGUGAAGCUCCUUCGACGAGUCGAGUUGUUUGGGAAUGCAGCUCUAAAUGGGAGGUAAAUUUCUUCUAAAGCUAAAUACCGGCCAGAGACCGAUAGCGCACAAGUAGAGUGAUCGAAAGAUGAAAAGCACUUUGGAAAGAGAGUUAAAAAGUACGUGAAAUUGUUGAAAGGGAAGCGCUUGCAACCAGACUCGUCCGCAGUUGCUCAGCCGGUCUCCUGACCGGCGUACUCUUCUGCGGCCGGGCCAGCAUCAGUUCGGGCGGCCGGAUAAAGGCCUCGGGAAUGUAGCACCCUUCGGGGUGUGUUAUAGCCCGGGGUGGAAUGCGGCCAGCCUGGACUGAGGAUCUCGCUUCGGCUAGGAUGCUGGCGUAAUGGUUGUAAGCGGCCCGUCUUGAAACACGGACCAAGGAGUCUAACAUCUAUGCGAGUGUUUGGGUGUCAAACCCAUGCGCGUAAUGAAAGUGAACGGAGGUGGGAACCCUCACGGGUGCACCAUCGACCGAUCCUGAUGUCUUCGGAUGGAUUUGAGUAUGAGCAUAGCUGUUGGGACCCGAAAGAUGGUGAACUAUGCCUGAAUAGGGUGAAGCCAGAGGAAACUCUGGUGGAGGCUCGCAGCGGUUCUGACGUGCAAAUCGAUCGUCAAAUUUGGGUAUAGGGGCGAAAGACUAAUCGAAC